GAUGCAUCUACAAGCCAAGGAAUGCCAAGGAUUGCCAGCAACCACCAGAAACUAGGAAGAGGAAAGGAAGGAUAUCCCCUCGCCACUUCGAAGGGAACAUGACUGUUCUGACAUCAUAAUUGCAGACUUCUAGUCCCUUGGAAUCUGAGAAAAAAAUAUUUCUGUUGCUUUAAGCCACCCAGCCCAUUAUACUUUGUUAGGGCAGCCCUAGGAACCCAAUACAGGGGACCUCUUGUCUUACAUCAGGUGAUCACAUUUCAGGUUUCCUCUUCAUGCCAGUUGGCAGAUAAUACCAGUCAACCUCCAGGAAGGCUUUCCUCAAAAUGUCCUGCCACUUCAUUGGGAAGAGAGUGCUGGCGCUAUCUGACUGAACAACCCGGUCGGGGGUUUACCUUUCAUGUAUCCACCCGCUGUUGCCACAGAUUUCAAGUAAUUACUGCAGUGCUGCCCGGACAUGCCAAAUUCCCAGCUACUUUCCCUCAAGCAGGCAGGAAUGAUCAGAUGAGACCAAUUUCAAAAGCUUCGCUGGGGGAAAAAAAUGCAUUUUUGAAGUUAAAAAGGCAACUGCAAGAAAAGUGGUGGAGGCAGGUGCACCAUCAUGCAAAGCAGAACUGUAAGCUUGGAUAGGGCAAAAUCCAACCAGAGAGUGGCCGGACACAAACUUGAUAAAAUACACAUGAACGAAGACAAGCCCUUGAAAUGAACUUUGAACAUGUAGUUUUCCAUGGAAAGAUCGGAAAAUAGCCUUGUCUCUAGACAGUGCUUAUUAAAAAUGCAAAGGUUUUUCAAGAGCUGAUGCAGGUUUCUGAACCGUGGUUUUUUUUUUUUUUUUUUUUUUUCUUUUUUUUUUUUUUUUUUUUUUUUUUUUUUUCUGAAUGAUUGCUAUAGUAUCUCCAAAUGACUCAUGGCAUUAGC
rnacentral:lncRNA from 1 species